rnacentral:miRNA from 1 species
GGCAAGUUGUCCUUGGCUAC